ACCAUCCUCCAAGGCUAAAUACUCCUGACUGACCGAUAGUGAACCAGUACCGUGAGGGAAAGGCGAAAAGAACCCCGGCGAGGGGAGUGAAAAAGAACCUGAAACCGUGUACGUACAAGCAGUGGGAGCACGCUUAGGCGUGUGACUGCGUACCUUUUGUAUAAUGGGUCAGCGACUUAUAUUCUGUAGCAAGGUUAACCGAAUAGGGGAGCCGAAGGGAAACCGAGUCUUAACUGGGCGUUAAGUUGCAGGGUAUAGACCCGAAACCCGGUGAUCUAGCCAUGGGCAGGUUGAAGGUUGGGUAACACUAACUGGAGGACCGAACCGACUAAUGUUGAAAAAUUAGCGGAUGACUUGUGGCUGGGGGUGAAAGGCCAAUCAAACCGGGAGAUAGCUGGUUCUCCCCGAAAGCUAUUUAGGUAGCGCCUCGUGAAUUCAUCUCCGGGGGUAGAGCACUGUUUCGGCAAGGGGGUCAUCCCGACUUACCAACCCGAUGCAAACUGCGAAUACCGGAGAAUGUUAUCACGGGAGACACACGGCGGGUGCUAACGUCCGUCGUGAAGAGGGAAACAACCCAGACCGCCAGCUAAGGUCCCAAAGUCAUGGUUAAGUGGGAAACGAUGUGGGAAGGCCCAGACAGCCAGGAUGUUGGCUUAGAAGCAGCCAUCAUUUAAAGAAAGCGUAAUAGCUCACUGGUCGAGUCGGCCUGCGCGGAAGAUGUAACGGGGCUAAACCAUGCACCGAAGCUGCGGCAGCGACGCUGAUGCGUUGUUGGGUAGGGGAGCGUUCUGUAAGCCUGCGAAGGUGUGCUGUGAGGCAUGCUGGAGGUAUCAGAAGUGCGAAUGCUGACAUAAGUAACGAUAAAGCGGGUGAAAAGCCCGCUCGCCGGAAGACCAAGGGUUCCUGUCCAACGUUAAUCGGGGCAGGGUGAGUCGACCCCUAAGGCGAGGCCGAAAGGCGUAGUCGAUGGGAAACAGGUUAAUAUUCCUGUACUUGGUGUUACUGCGAAGGGGGGACGGAGAAGGCUAUGUUGGCCGGGCGACGGUUGUCCCGGUUUAAGCGUGUAGGCUGGU
rnacentral:rRNA from 1 species